rnacentral:rRNA from 1 species
AUUGAACGCUGGCGGCAGGCCUAACACAUGCAAGUCGAACGAGUGGCGGACGGGUGAGUAAUGUCUGGGAAACUGCCCGAUGGCGGGGGAUAACUACUGGAAAAGGUAGCUAAUACCGCAUACCAUCGGAUGUGCCCAGAUGGGAUUAGCUGGUUGGUGGGGUAACGGCUCACCUAGGCGACGAUCCCUAGCUGGUCGGAGAGGAUGACCAGCCACACUGGAACUGAGACAGGGUCCAGACUCCUACGGGAGGCGGCAGUGGGGAAUAUGGCACAAGGGGGGCAAGCCUGAGGCAGCCAUGCCGCGUGUAUGAAGAGGGCCUUCGGUUUGUAAAGUACUUUCAGCGAGGAGGCGUUACUCGCAGAAGAAGCACCGGCUAACUCCGUGCCAGCAGCCGCGGUAAUAC